UUGAACGCUGGCGGCAUGCCUUACACAUGCAGGUCGAACGGCAGCACGGGUGCUUGCACCUGGUGGCGAGUGGCGAACGGGUGAGUAAUACAUCGGAACAUGUCCUGUAGUGGGGGAUAGCCCGGCGAAAGCCGGAUUAAUACCGCAUACGAUCUACGGAUGAAAGCGGGGGACCUUCGGGCCUCGCGCUAUAGGGUUGGCCGAUGGCUGAUUAGCUAGUUGGUGGGGUAAGGCCUACCAAGGCGACGAUCAGUAGCUGGUCUGAGAGGACGACCAGCCACACUGGGACUGAGACACGGCCCAGACUCCUACGGGAGGCAGCAGUGGGGAAUUUUGGACAAUGGGCGAAAGCCUGAUCCAGCAAUGCCGCGUGUGUGAAGAAGGCCUUCGGGUUGUAAAGCACUUUUGUCCGGAAAGAAAUCCUUGGCCCUAAUACGGUCGGGGGAUGACGGUACCGGAAGAAUAAGCACCGGCUAACUACGUG
rnacentral:rRNA from 1 species